AUUCGUUGUCGGAAUUAGAUGAACCGAUUGCCCACUCGACUCAAAACAUCUCCCCUGAACUUGUUCACAAUGAUAUGAUAAAUGCCCCGAUUGAGACUAAUCUAUGGAGUAAUGACAAUGACUCCCACACAAAUUCAUUGCUCAUACAUGCUGCAGAAAUAGGGGAAUUAUUUGAUUUAAUGUAUUUUUAAUAUAUAUAUAUAUAUAUAAUAUUAUUAAUAAAGAUUAUUUAAUCUCAACACA